UGAGCAGAUCCCCCAGAGCCCUGCGGCUGCCCCAGCCCUUCCUGUGGGGCUGAUCCACGGGACCCUCCCAUGUCAUCUCUGAAUGGGGCCUGUGCUGGGACAAGGUGUGAAGAUGCUGGGGGCAGUCAGCACCGUGGUCUGGAUGUGGUUCUGGUGACUGCACACCUCUCUGCUCCUUGUCUCUCCAGGAGAGCGCCCAGGGCUUCCAGAGCAGGCCCUGGCACAUCCCUGUGCUGCCACCUGAUGUGCUCCAGUGGUCCCGCAGCAGAGCCUGAGCCCUGUGGCUGUAGGAGCUGAGGACAACUGCCAUUCUGCUGCCACAGGGUGCAGGAUGUGCUUGAGGCUGGCUGUUAACCCAGCACCAGGGCGAGGUGUGAGGGCUGCUCCACUUCCUGUGUGGCCAUGGCUUGCACACGCCUUGGCACCCUCCUGUGGGUGGCUGCCCCGUGCGUGACCUGCUGCUGGCAAACAUCCCUGCACAGAACGUGCCCCUGUGCAGCCCCAGCCCAGCUCUGCCCCAGCCACCAGCCCUGGGCCCCCCGAGGCAGGGGAUGGGCCCUGGCAGCCCCUCGGCUGAGGUGGUCACAGACAUGCCCUGGCCACAGCGCUCCCAUGGGAGCUGGCAGUGGCUGGGGCUGCUCCAAGGCACCUGCUCUCUCACAGUGCCAUGGGAAGGAAUUCCUCUGCCCCACAGAAGCCACAGGGGGGUGUGGGUUAUUCCCAGUGGGAAGAGCUCUAUAAGCUCUAAAACUCCCCUCCCCUGGGGCCUGCUCUUCUCCCUCACCUGCUCUCCCCAGAGAUUUCUCCUCUCCAGCAUGUGACUCUGCUGCAGAGGGUUGUCUCUUGGUUUUACUGAGCUUGAAACAGGGGCUUUCCCUGCACUGGUUAAAUUCUUCUUUUGCUGCUGAAUUUCUGUCUCCAAAUGACCCGAUGGGAAGCAGCUGCUGGUUCUCAGAGGGGCUGUGGGUGACACUGAGGAUAGCAGCACAGGACCCUCUUCAGAGGGUUUUGGACAGUAAGGAAGAUAUCUGAGCACAGCCCAAGGCCAGGGCAGAUCUGUGGGGACCUCAGGAAUGGUCAGCUGGCCGUCUAUGCUGGCACCCAGCACUUGGGCCUUGCCUUUGGUGGGAGGUUUGCUCUCCUGGGGACCGGGUGAAGGCUGGGUACCACUGUGGAAUAGUGCCAUGGGCACAGGGCGGCUGCUGCUGCUCUGUGCCCUGCGCUUGGUGGGCUUGUUGCUCCCACAGCUGAUGUGCCUCUUGGGGCUUCCUGGGGAGCUGCAAGGUGGGCACAACACAGCCCAGCCUGGCCCAUGUUGGGCAGGAUCUGCUGCACAUUGUUCUGGAGUGUCUGGGUGGGUGGGGAGGUUGGGUGCAGCUACUUGGAGAAAGCAAAUAUUCUGGCAAGCAAAGGGUGGGAUUUCCACGGGGUCUUCACUAGAAAUGAUGUGCAUUUUGACUUAAUGAUGUCAGUGAAUCAUAUAAUGCUUUGGGCUGGAUGAGACCUUAAAGAUUGUCUUGUUCCAGCCCCUCUGCCAUGGGCAGGGACACCUUUCACUAGACUAGGUUGCUCCAAGCCCUGUCCAGCCUGGCCUUGGACACUUCCAGGGAUGGGACAGCCACAGCUUCUCUGGGCAACAAACUCAAGAGGCUGAAGGUGUGAGGAUUGUUGCUGAGGAUUGUUGCUGGUUUGGGGGUGGCUUCCAGGCGAGCAGGGACAAGAGCAAAUACCUUCACAUCUGGUAUUUCUUGCCACCCUGGAAUAAAUGUUGUUGAUCCAGUCUUGGAAGGACCACAGGUGGGGGAGGGCUGGGGUGGGGGGCAGAGGUUGAACAGGGACCAUAGUCCAACUAGAUUACAGUGAGGGAUGGCUCCUUGCACCUUGGAGCAAGUGCUCCCUGUGAAGGGACGAUGGGGCAAGUGAGGGAGAGCAACCUCUGCCACCUCCCGGACCACCACCACUGCCUCGGCUGCUUCAUGGUGCCUGGCUCGGAGCUGGAGUCUGGCAUGUCCAUGGGAGCCUGAAGGAAUCCAUCACUGAGUCUCAUUUGGGGUUUUCUGUUGGUUUGGGUUUAUUUUUCUUUUUUUUUUUUUUUUCUUUAUUUUUUUUUUUUUUCUACCGCCUUAGUUUGUGGCCUGUCUUGUUGUGGUUGGAAAGAGUAUUGCUAGCCAGGUGGGUCAGUCGGUUGGCCCCACGCAUGAUCAUGUGCUUCCCUCUUCUCUCUGUCGAACGGGAUGUGCUCGCCUGAUCUCC
ensembl:lncRNA